CUAAAGUUCUUCCCCUAAAGGGGAACUUUAGUGUUCUUCUUCUUCCCCUAAAGGGGAACUUUAGUUCUUCCCCUUUGGUUCCCCUAAAGGGGACGAACUAAAGGGGUUCCCCUUUAGUUCCCCUAAAGGGGAUGAAGAACUAAAGGGGAACCCCUUUAGUUACCCUUUAGGGGAUGAACUCUUCCCCUAAAGGGUAACUAACGGUUCCCCUUUAGGGGAUGAAGAAGGGGUGUGUUCCCCUAAAGGGGACGAACACUAAAGGGGACAACCCUUUAGUUCCCCUUUAGGGGAUGAACCAAAGUCAUCGUCCCCAAAGUCUUCCCCUUCUUCCCCGUAGGGGAGUUCAUCCCCUUUAGGGGAACUAAAGGGGGUUCCCCUUUAGUUCCCCUAAAGGGGAAGAAGAGCACUAAAGUUCCCCUUUAGGGGAUGAACACAUAUAUUUAACACAUAAUGGGUAACAAAAAGUUCUUUAUUAAGGGGAUGGUCCCCUUUAGUUCCCCUUUAGGGGAUGAAGAACAAAGGGGACAGACGACGAAGGGGUUCCCCUUUAGGGGAAGAAAAGCUACUUAGGCUACUUUGUAGUUUAGAUUAUCCGGACUUCGGCCGGAUUAUGGUAGUUUAAUAUAGUUAAACUAUAUUAAACUACAUUCCACAAUUUUUAUACCGUGCAGUCAGGUAGUAGCUUAACGUCGUUAAGCUAGUUCCUUGGUGCUCUUUGCUCAGUUGGACCCACACCAAUCCAUCCCGAACUUGGUUGUGAAAAAGCUGAGGGAACUGAAGACUUCUCGGUCGCCGUUUGGAAUAUCAGUUCUAGUGCCAGGGUAUUUGUACAUAAAAAGCACGCAGACGUCAAACUUCGUCUUUGGUUCCCCUUUAGGGGAUGAACCAAGUCCCCUCUGGUCUUAGUCCCCUAGGGUGUCAUCCCC
rnacentral:lncRNA from 1 species